GAAGAGAAACUCAUUCUCUUUUCUUCUUUCUCUUUCUUCUCCUUCUUGUUUCUUCCUUCUUUCCCCUAUUCUUCGCGGCUGCUGAUUCUGAGAAAGGUGUGAGAAUUGAUUUAAGAGGGUUAAUCGAAGAUGUUCUGAUGAUGCAGUUUUUUUUGGUGAAGAUAGUUGUGUGAUUGAAUUAGGUUCAUAAGAAGUGAUGUUCAGAGAGAUUCAGUGAGUUAGGGUUUCUGGAUUUGAAGCUAGAUUUGCAUGGAGCUGAUAAUGAUGAUUCCUAGUUGUUAAUGGAUGAAGAUCGAAUGGGUUGAUGUUGUGUUUGUGAAUUGAAGUUGUUAUGAAGAUGAAUCGAAGAAUGAAAGAGUUAGGGUUUCAUAAAGGAAAUUCAUGGAAGGUUCAAAAGAUGAAAUUGAUGUUGUAAAGGAUCGUUUUGGAUAUGGGAUUGAUACGAAUUAGAAUAUACAGAUGAAAAGUGGUUUGAAUUUUAUAAUCAGGGAUUGGCUUUGUUUGCUGAAGGUUUGGGAAUUUAAUUAGGUUUUGGUGAGAAAUAGUGUUGCUGAUGAAGGAUAGGGAUCGAUUAUGUCAAUAAGAAUAUGUUGGACCUAUUAUUGGUGAUGAUUCAGAUGUUGAAUCAAACUCUGGAAGUAUGGGAAAGUUGUAAAUAAGAGUUCUAAAAUUACAGUUGCAGAUUGGUGAUAUUGGAGCUUGAGUUAUGAUGAUGAUUUCUGGGUAGUCUUGAGAUGUGUUGGUGAACCAGAAACCAAAGUGAGAAGCAGAAUUACAACUCAGUUGCUUGAGUAGCAAAGAUUGGAGAUUAUUUUGGUGUUGAGCUGUUAGUGGUAUUGGUGUUGUCUAUGAUGUUGAAACUGCAGGGGAAAUUAGUGAAUGGUGGAGGUGCGGAGUUAUUGAGGUGUGUGUGUGUAGAACUGGAGUUAGAGAUGGAAGCAAUAAUGAAGCUUUGAUUGAACUGUUUUAUGGAAUUGAGAUAGAGAUAGAGUAGACGGUUAUAGUUUUGAAGAUGAAAUUCAGGGUGUGAAUGAAGUUGUAAUGAUUGUGGUGAAUGGGUGUUAUCUGAAAUUGAGAUUAAGGUAAGAGAUAUGUGCUGCUAGUUGAGCAGAUUUAGAAUGGAUGAAUGUUUGUAUAUGCAUACUGACAGUGUUGUCUGAGUUGAAUCUUAAAUGUACAAUUACAGGAUUUUUGAACUAGAAUAUGUAAAGUGAUUUGGGAGAAAGAGGGUUGUUGUAAUAUUGCUUAGAAGUGGCCUUAAUGGAAGCCUUCUACUGCAGAUCAAGGUAAACUCAGUUUACAGUUGUAAUUGAGUUAUGAAGUUUAUUUAAGAGAAAUGUUUGAGUUGUUGUUGUUUUGUUUAAUGAAAAUAUUGCACCA